CCUGAACCGAUGCAAUCCAGUGAUGUCGAUGGAACUAUUCGGUGCAGACUUUCAAUCUCCUUCAGCUUUGAAAUUUUGAUUUGCAGAUUACUAAUAAAGAUUUAUGUCAUGGAGGAUCCCAGUGCAUAACAAAGCGUGGCGAGGUGGAUGGAAGAAUCAUCUCAGAUUGAGCAAGGGACAGUAACCGACAUUUAGCUACCAGUAGUAACAUUCACCAAGCAGAGUAGUAGGAGCAGCGAACUUCAGCGCCCCGACGCCGGGGACAUCACGCCCAUGCUGCUCUUCAACUGUGCUACAUUGUCCAGGUCCAGUACAAGCAGGUAUGCAUGCUCCUUCUAUUCAGAUUUAGAGCUUUUUCUCCAGUCUACGGGUGUAGUGUGUCUGACUGUGGC